UGGGGAAUAUUGCACAAUGGGCGCAAGCCUGAUGCAGCCAUGCCGCGUGUAUGAAGAAGGCCUUCGGGUUGUAAAGUACUUUCAGCGGGGAGGAAGGGAGUAAAGUUAAUACCUUUACUCAUUGACGUAACCCGCAGAAGAAGCACCGGCUAACUCCGUGCCAGCAGCCGCGGUAAUACGGAGGGUGCAAGCGUUAAUCGGAAUUACUGGGCGUAAAGCGCACGCAGGCGGUUUGUUAAGUCAGAUGUGAAAUCCCCGGGCUCAACCUGGGAACUGCAUCUGAUACUGGCAAGCUUGAGUCUCGUAGAGGGGGGUAGAAUUCCAGGUGUAGCGGUGAAAUGCGUAGAGAUCUGGAGGAAUACCGGUGGCGAAGGCGGCCCCCUGGACGAAGACUGACGCUCAGGUGCGAAAGCGUGGGGAGCAAACAGG
rnacentral:rRNA from 1 species